GGAAACUGAGGCCGGGCUGCGGGCACUAAAGGGUUAACGUGGGCCGGCGUGACACGAUGACACGUAGGGUGACGUCACGCGGGAGGAGGCGGGGCUCAGCUCCCAGGAGUCCCCGCGGCGGGGGGUGCGCGGCGCGGUGCGGUGCAGACCGGGGGGGGCGGGGCUGCGUCCCCUCCUCAUGCGGGGGGGCGCAUGCCGCGUGCUUGCCCGCAGGCCGGGCGCGGUGACGCGCGGGUGUGGCCCCCAGGUGCCGGUGCGGGGCUCGGGGGGCCCUCCGACAAGACGCGGCCCCGGGGGUGACCCCCGGCCUGGGCAGCGGCGGGGAGCGAUGGGAACGCCGCCGGGGCCUGGGGGCCGGCCCCCUCACGCCCCCCGCCAGCAACCAGAAAAGACAGCUACUCAGUUCCUGAAGCAAAGGGUACGUCCUUGGCUGGGAUGAUCCAGACUGGUGCUGAAAGGUGGAUUAAUGAUGAAAAUGAUGACGAGGACGACGACACACUUAACUUCUUUUUUUCCCCCUUCUACGCUUUUCUUUAACUUGACUCCUUGGAUGACUCCUGGCUUUUGGAUUGGUCUCUCUGCAGUCAGCAUAUUGUUCGUAUCUUAUCCUGUCAGCAUAUUCCUUUGUUCGACAGCCCCGUUACGAGCACACCUCUUAAUUCGGCCUUUUUCUGGUAUCUUCCUUUCAGCAUUGUGCAUUGGUCUCCUUCACCACGUUUGAAUAACAUACCCAGUCAUUUCAUCGCUCUGGUUCAGCUGGUUAGUGCCAAGUUCAGAUAAUAUGAGCUAGUAACAAACCUGUUACUACUUUGUGUUAGAAAACCUUCUGGCACUGAUGGAAACAGGAAAGAAACAGCAUGCGAGCAUCCUCAAGGCCAUAAGCUGCUUGCAAGAAACAAGGCCAGCUGAUACUGCAAACGGCAGCAAAAUGAAAAAUUCAAAUAACAGUGAAGCUAUUCAGAACUUUAGGCUGAAUAUAAAAGACAACUUUAAACAAUGCUAUAAUUCACCACUCUAUAAAAAGGUGCAACUUUAAGGCAUAAAAUACAACAAGCCACCCUAACAGGGGGUCGUUCUCUGCUUCCCAGCAGCAAAA